rnacentral:lncRNA from 1 species
CAGCCCGCCUGCACCCAGGUGAAAUAGACAGCCAUGUUGCUCACACAAAGCCUGUUUGCUGGUCUCUUCACACUGACUCGAGUGAAAUUUGGUGCCGUGACUAGGAUCGGGGGACCUCCCUUGGGAGAUCAAUCCCCCGUCCUCCUACACUUUGCUCUGUGAGAAAGAUCCACCUACAACCUCAGGUCCUCAGACCAACCAGCCCAAGAAACAUCUCACCAAUUUCAAAUCCGUGAUAGAUCACAACAAGAGAUCAUGAAGAGGGCAUGGCCGCCAUGUCAUUCUGGAGAGAGACAGAGUAAAACAAAGAAGACAGAGUCUUGUUCUGCAACCCAGGCUGGAGUGGAGGGCAGUGGUGUGAUCUCGGCUCACUUCAACCUCCGCCUCUUAGGUUCAAGUGAUUCUCCUGCCUCAGCCUCCCGAGUAGCUGGGACUACAGCAGCCUCUCUACAAGUCUCCUAACUUAACCUGAUGGGAAAACACUUCCUACCACUAACAGCAUCUACUUGAUUACUGAUACUUUGAUCAUGGAGUUUGGGCAUGCCACUUGAUAGAAAUUUGAAGAGCAAUUAUAUUUUUCAAAAAGAGUUUUGAAUAAUGUUAAGAUAGAUUGCAACAUGACUAUCAAUUCUUCCCUUCCCAUCAAAGGAGAGAGUCCGUUUAUCCAGCCUUUGAAUCUUGAUUAUUCAUGUGACUUGCUUCACCCAAUGUAACAUUAAUAAGCACAAUACAAGCAGAGGCUUGCCAAGAACUUGGUUUGUUUCUAAUGCUUAGAAGAAGAAUGGUGUAUGCCAUAUUUCUGCAUUUAGAACUCACGUGGAGACAUGUGUGGCCCAAUUGCUUCUCUUUCAUCUCAGGCAAUAACCAGACACGGGACUGAGGCCAUCCAUGACCAGCCAGCCCUAGCCAACACACAACACACAAGCUGAUCACAGAUGCAUGAGUAAGCCUGAGACCAGCCAAGACCAGCCUAGAAUAGAACUGCUCAGCAGCAAUAAAAACUAAAUAAAUUGUUACCUUAAGCUACUUUUAGAGCUA